UAGAGCCGAGCGGCUAUUUUAACUUUCAGAUUCGGCUUCUACACGUCAAAAUACACAAGAUAGAAAUGUUAAUCAAAUAAUCCAACAGCCUACUUGACUACUUGGAAUAUAGACGGACGAUUCUUCUUUCUCACACGCAAUGCCUCUAUUUAAGAGAUUGAUUGUCAUGGCCAGGAGCCAAGUGAUCUAUAGUAAAAUUCAACAAACCAAAUAUAUGUCGACUGUCAUCAAGAGUAAAGGUGACGACAAGAUGAUUUCUUCUGAAUCGCCAAUCAAAAAGUCAGUAUUUGUAUCGCAAUCCAUGGAUGUAUUUACCAAUCUGGCAUGGGAGGACUGGCUGUAUCGCAAUUAUGACUUCACCAGUCACCAUGUGCUACUACUCUGGAGAAACAAUCCUUGCAUAGUGUAUGGGCGUCAUCAGAAUCCGUGGAAAGAGUGCAAUGUCCAAAAAGCUAAAAAGAAAGGAAUAACGUUAGUGAGGCGGAACAGCGGCGGCGGUACUGUUUAUCACGAUAAUGGUAAUCUCAACUUAUCCUUCUUCACACCACGAGGGAGAUAUAAUCGAAAGUACAAUUUACACAUAAUUACGAGGGCACUGUUUCGUGAAUGGCGCUUGGAGAGCGUGAUCAACGAGCGCGACGACAUUGUCGUCGACGGAAAUUAUAAGGUAUCUGGAACAGCUGCAAAAUUAGGACGACCUAAUGCUUAUCAUCAUUGCACGCUAUUAGUCGGUGUGGAUAAGAGCAAUCUGAAAUUAGCUCUUGAAAGAAAAGAGAAUAAUAUCCUUACGAAUGCAACGACUUCCAUAAGUUCUCCAAUAAAGAAUUUGAACGACGUGAAUCCAAACAUCAAAAUGGAUAAACUUAUAACUGUCGUUGGUAAAGAAUAUUUGCGUACAAACGCUCUCGUUCUUGAAGAUGAAGGACAUGUCUUGUCUGAACAGCAGAUGGAGUUCCAGCUUAUCAAUCCAACGGAAGAUUUGUUCACUGGAUUGGAUGAGUUGACGGGCGUGUUUCGCUCCUGGGACUGGAAUUUUGGUGCAGCGAGACUUUGGCUUACUUAUGACGGCUGGUUCUUCCGCACGCUCGAGAGCAGCGGAGCGCUUUUUGCCGGACGUAACGGAGGGCCCGCGAGCGAGCUGAGCCGUCACUGAGUUUACAAGAAUCACGAUCUGGACACAUCAAAUUGAUUCCGGUUUCGAUCCCACUUCUGCAUCGGAGUACCACUUGCGGCACAGACGGGACGGGAAUACCUCUGGUAAAUACCGAGCUCUCCAGUCAAUCGACUUUGCUGCAACCUUAUCCGGACUUUGGAACCCACACUCUCUGCCUCAGUCCAACCAAUAUGAAAGCGC
rnacentral:misc_RNA from 1 species